UACGGAGGAUCCAAGCGUUAUCCGGAAUCAUUGGGUUUAAAGGGUCCGUAGGCGGUUUUGUAAGUCAGUGGUGAAAGCCCAUCGCUCAACGGUGGAACGGCCAUUGAUACUGCAAGGCUUGAAUUAUUGGGAAGCAACUAGAAUAUGUAGUGUAGCGGUGAAAUGCUUAGAGAAUUACAUGGAAUACCAAUUGCGAAGGCAGGUUGCUACCAAUACAUUGACGCUGAUGACGAAAGCGUGGGGAGCGAACAGG
rnacentral:rRNA from 1 species